UACGUAGGGACCGAGCGUUGUCCGGAAUCAUUGGGCGUAAAGAGCGUGUAGGCGGCCAUUUAAGUCCUGCGUGAAAUCCUGCGGCUCAACCGCAGGCGGUCGUGGGAAACUGGAUGGCUAGAGUGCGGGAGAGGAGAGUGGAAUUCCUGGUGUAGCGGUGAAAUGCGUAGAUAUCAGGAGGAACACCUGUGGUGUAGACAGCUUACUGGACCACUUCUGACGCUGAGACACGAAAGCGUGGGUAGCAAACAGG
rnacentral:rRNA from 1 species